GGCAGGUCAGUUGAAUCAAAAGGUUUUGCAGCUGGUUGAACAAUUUGAGUGUCAUCUAAUGAAAGAUUUCAUCAUUCAUUUACUCAUCCUGGUGUUCCAAAUCUUUUGUUGUUUUUGUGCAACAAGAUAGGCUACUAUACUUUUAUUUUUUUAAGAAAUGUAUGAAACCAACAUGGUCACUGUACUUUCUACUGUAUAUAGCACUUGCAUUUUGAUCUACUGCACUUUCAUCUCAGAUGUCAUUGAAUCUCUUACAUUUUUAAGUGUACAGGUAGCCUACUUUUUAGUUCCACUGUUAAAGUAAUUCUCAUUUCAUAUUUAAUUGUUCUUAUAAGACAUUCUUGUCAUGGAAGAUAACGUUUUGUCUUGCUUUUUCACCAUACAAGGGUACAGGAAUGAGAAGUGACAUAACUCUACAUUUCCCAGACCUAAUUCAGUAUGGAAAUAAACAUGGAGUUGCAGGGUUGAUGUGAUAUUUGCCAAAUGAGCAAGGUAAACUGGACUGUCUUGGAAGACUGAGACUAGACUUGGUUCAGCACUACCCAGACCUAAUUAAUUACAGAAGUAAAGGUGGAGUUGGAGGAUGAAUGCCAGAGGAAUUGUCUAAGGAGUAAGAAACAGAACAAGCCAACUCGUCCCCUGUGUGGUGUCAUCCUCCUCUUCUCCUCCUCCUUUGCACUUCUGUUCCUUCGCCCUGUAUUUCCCUCCCUCCAAUGGAUCAGGCCGCCCUGGUAUGCCACCAGAACCAAAAAGCGAAAAGGCCCGAGUUUGGAGAAGCUAACGGCUGUGUGUUUGAUCGCAACGAGGGACUCGGAAUUGACCCAGAGUCGUCAGAUCGUGACCAACACAGCCAGCCCAUGAGAGCCGGGUCCUCGGCCAGCCAAUCACGAACACGCCAGAUUCUCAAACCGACACCCACUUCCUGAUGUCUGGAGCUGGAAUGAGAAUCUGGAAAAGACACCGGAGGUAAGGAUGCAGGGAUUCGUUUCCAUUCAUUCACUCGUUUGUAAACAGCUUAUCCUUUUUUCUUUUCUCACAACCCUACAUCAACAGGUUUAACAAGGCCUUUUGUCGUACCGUCCGCGCUCCCCUCGCGUAAGACAAAAAGGUUAAUCAAUAACAUGGUUCAAAAUAAAGUUUAGUGAUUGUGCUUUUAAAACCA
ensembl:lncRNA